rnacentral:rRNA from 1 species
UGGGGAAUUUUGGACAAUGGGCGAAAGCUGAUCCAGCAAUGCCGCGUGUGUGAAGAAGGCCUUCGGGUUGUAAAACACUUUUGUCCGGGAAAGAAAAUCCUUGGCUCUAAUACAGUCGGGGGAUGACGGUACCGGAAGAAUAAGCACCGGCUAACUACGUGCCAGCAGCCGCGGUAAUACGUAGGGUGCAAGCGUUAAUCGGAAUUACUGGGCGUAAAGCGUGCGCAGGCGGUUUGCUAAGACCGAUGUGAAAUCCCCGGGCUCAACCUGGGAACUGCAUUGGUGACUGGCAGGCUAGAGUAUGGCAGAGGGGGGUAGAAUUCCACGUGUAGCAGUGAAAUGCGUAGAGAUGUGGAGGAAUACCGAUGGCGAAGGCAGCCCCCUGGGCCAAUACUGACGCUCAUGCACGAAAGCGUGGGGAGCAAAACAGGAUUAGAUACCCUGGUAGUCCACGCCCCUAAAACGAUGUCAACUAGUUGUUGGGGAUUCAUUUCCUUAGUACGUAGCUAACGCGUGAAGUUGGCCGCCUGGGGAGUACGGUCGCAAGAUUAAAAACUUAAAGGAAUUGACGGGGUCAUAGCUGUUUCCU